UCCAGGUGGUUCAAUGGUAAAGAAUCUGCCUGCAAUGCAGGAGACCCAGGUUCAAGCCCUGCAUCAGGAA
rnacentral:tRNA from 1 species